AGUUUGACUGGGCUACUAUCGGUAGUAAACUGCGCGCUCGGUUUACUACCAAUUUAUUUUUGAUGAUAGAACUUCCAAAUCGACGAUCGGCACCGUUGAACGUGAUCUAGACUAUUUAAAUUAUCUAGAAAUCAAAUUUCAUGAUUUUUUGGCAUCACUAACUGAACGAUCAAAGGGUCACAAAAUCUAUAAUUUUAAUGGCCGAUAUGGUGCGUUUGCUCGUUUAACGGUAUAGAAGAGUUCAAAUUAACUAAAUUUUUGUUAAAAAACUCUUUAAACUAUUUAAAAUAAGAUCUAGACUCUAGAUCUCAAAUAUAAAAAUUGUAUCAUCACUUUUUGAAGGAUAUUAAUUUCCAGCCAUUCAUUUUUCUGUUCACUUGAUGGAUAAAAGAACAAUAUCGAAAAUGUGUAAAAUUUGAUUUUCAGAUAGUUUAAAUAGUUUAGAUCAUGUUUAACGGUGCCGAUCAUCAAUUUGAAAGCUCUAUCAUCGAAAACAAAUCAGUAGUAAACCGAGCCGUUUACUACCGAUAGUAUUCUAGUAAAACUCUCUCUCUCUCUCUCUAUAUAUAUAUAUAUAUAUAUAUCUUAAAUAACAAUAAUAAUAAUUUACUUUU
rnacentral:lncRNA from 1 species